GACUCUCGACAAUGGAUAUCUCGGCUCUCGCAUCGAUGAAGAGCGCAGCGAAAUGCGAUACGUGGUGCGAAUUGCAGAAUCCCGCGAACC
rnacentral:rRNA from 1 species